rnacentral:rRNA from 1 species
GAAUCAUUCACAAUGGGCGAAAGCCUGAUGAUGCAAUGCCGCGUGGAGGAUGAAGGCCUUAGGGUCGUAAACUCCUGUCAUUGGGGAGCAACAAAUAGGUUCAUAGCCUAUCAUGAGUUAACCCAAAGAGGAAGAGGUGGCUAACUCCGUGCCAGCAGCCGCGGUAAUACGGAGACCUCGAGCGUUACUCGGAUUCACUGGGCGUAAAGGGUGAGUAGGUGGCCAAGUAUGUCAGGUGUGAAAUCCCGGGGCUUAACCCCGGAACUGCGCCUGAAACUACUUGGCUAGAGUCUCGGAGAGGAUAGUGGAAUUCCAAGUGUAGCGGUGAAAUGCGUAGAUAUUUGGAGGAA